rnacentral:rRNA from 1 species
GACGAACCGUCCUAGCGUUGUUCGGAAUCACUGGGCUUAAAGGGCGCGUAGGCGGGCUUCCCAGUCCGGGGUGAAAUCUUUCGGCUUAACCGGAAAAGGGCCUUGGAUACUGGAAGUCUUGAGGGAGGUAGGGGCUUGUGGAACUGUGGGUGGAGCGGUGAAAUGCGUUGAUAUCCACAGGAACGCCGGUGGCGAAAGCGACAGGCUGGAUCUCUUCUGACGCUGAGGCGCGAAAGCCAGGGGAGCAAACGGG